rnacentral:rRNA from 1 species
AAGUCGGUUGUGAAAGCCUUCCGCUCAACGGAAGAACGGCAUCCGAUACUGCAUGGCUUGAGUGCGGGAGGGGAGAGUGGAACUUCUGGUGGAGCGGUGAAAUGCGUAGAUAUCAGAAGGAACACCGGCGGCGAAGGCGACUCUCUGGUCCAUAACUGACGCUGAGUGUGCGAAAGCUAGGGGAGCAAACGGGAUUAGAUACCCCGGUAGUCCUAGCCGUAAACGAU